rnacentral:rRNA from 1 species
AUUGAACGCUGGCGGCAGGCCUAACACAUGCAAGUCGAACGGGGAGAUGCUGCUUGCACUAUCACGUGGCGGAGGACGGGUGAGUAAUGGUUAGGCAUGUCCAUAUCAGUGGGGGACCACACCUCAAAAGGGAUGCAAAUACCGCAUGAGUGCUACGGGUCAAAGGAGGGGAUAAAUGAGGACUCUGCGCUAAAAGAUGAGUGAUAGGCGGAUUAGCUAGUUGGUGGGGUAAAGGCCCACCAAGGCGACGAUCGAUAGCGGGUCUGAGAGGAUGAUCCGCCACACUGGAACUGAGACACGGCCCAGACUCCUACGGGAGGCAGCAGUGGGGAAUAUUGGACAAUGGGGGAAAGCCUGAUGCAGCCAUGCCGCGUGUGUGAAGAAGGCCUUAUGGUUGUAAAGCACUGUAGGCUAGGAGGAGGAUCUUUUGGUUAAUACGCAAAAUGAGUUGACGGUACUCGCAGAAUAAGCACCGGCUAACUCUGUGCCAGCCGCCGCGGUAA